UUUCCUUUCUCUAUUCAAGAGUUGUUUGAAAUUUGGCCACAAUUUUGAUACGGAAGGCAAAAGCUAAGACGCUCGUCAUAGAGAUAAUGGGUGCAAGGAGAUCAUAUGACUGAUACAUAGUCUUCCAUAAAUGUAUGGAAGGAAGCAACCCAAGUCGAAUCUAUGAGCAUGAUUUUGCAGGUACCAGACAUCGACUCCACCUGGCUUCACAGGUUUGAGCGUGUCUUAGUUCCAAUGGCUUAUGUGGUUCGGAGAUGGCAUGAGAUUCCCUUCACAUACUCUACGUCUAAGUUAUUCACCAUGUUUAGUCAACAUCUUGGCAUAAUUUGCCAUGUCAGUUAGUAAACUUGGUCCUUUGGUAUUGUGAGUCCAAUUUAUGCCGGUUGAUUUACUUGAUGAUGUUAGAGUAAUUAUGUGUAGUUUUCUAUUUGGAAAUGUUUAUUUUAAUGUAUUUAAUUUAUAAGUUUUCAAUAUUUAAUUAUUUGAUAUUUAUAUUUAUUUGACAAUUAACAUUUAUUGAUUUUAUGAUUAUUAUAAUAUUUGGUAAGCUUUAUUGUUGUUUAAUAUUUAUUUAAU